rnacentral:rRNA from 1 species
GANNAACGCGUAUGCAACCUGUCCGUUACAGGGGGAUAGCCCAUGGAAACGUGGAUUAACACUCCAUAAUAUAAUAUAGAGGCAUCUUUGUAUUAUUAAAUAUUCAUAGGUAACGGUUGGGCAUGCGUCCUAUUAGAUAGUUGGGGGGGUAACGGCCCACCAAGUCGAUGAUAGGUAGGGGUUCUGAGAGGAAGGUCCCCCACACUGGUACUGAGACACGGACCAGACUCCUACGGGAGGCAGCAGUGAGGAAUAUUGGUCAAUGGGCGAGAGCCUGAACCAGCCAAGUCGCGUGAGGGAUGACUGCCCUAUGGGUUGUAAACCUCUUUUGUAUGGGGGGAAUAAGCUUUACGAGUAGAGUGAUGACAGUACCAUACGAAUAAGCAUCGGCUAACUCCGUGCCAGCAGCCGCGGUAAUACGGAGGAUGCGAGCGUUAUCCGGAUUUAUUGGGUUUAAAGGGUGCGUAGGCGGCAUUAUAAGUUAGUGGUAAAAUAUUGGGGCUUCACCUCACUACGCCAUUAAUACUGUAGAGCUAGAGAACAGACGAGGUAGGCGGAAUAAGUUAAGUAGCGGUGAAAUGCAUAGAUAUAACUUAGAACACCGAUAGCGAAGGCAGCUUACCAGACUGAGUCUGACGCUGAUGCACGAGAGCAUGGGUAGCGAACAGGAUUAGAUACCCUGGUAGU